AGUUUUGUCCUUCCAAAGGGUUGCCCUAGGGGUAAAAGUCGGAAAUCAAGGGCAGCUCUUUUUUCCUGGAGAGAGAGUGCCAAAGCCUGAUAACAAAGGUCUAUGGUUCCACUACCGUCAAUCGCAGGAAAACGAGAGAACAGAUAGUUAAUCUUUAGUGUUUCUUGAAAUCUUUGCUUUAAAUUAAUUUGAGGUUUAAACACCUUAAAAGCGUAGAUACUUCUGGUGGAUUUGCAUGUUCUAAAUACUUAUGUACCUAUAUAUAAGGAAAAGAUCACACUCUUUGCUAUUCAUAAACACCUCCCUAUUAGGAAGAUUCUUUGUGUUUAAGAACAGGAGCCGUUUGAGUUCAUAAGAAUUGCAACUUGAGUAAUUUUUAUUUUUUUGUCUUUUUAGGGCCCACCCACAGCAUAUGGAGGUUCCUGGGCUAGGGGUUGAAUUGGUUCCACUGGCCUAUGGUACAGCCACAGCAACGCCAAGUCUGAGCCAUACCUGCGGCCUAUGCCACAGCUCAGCUCAUGGCAAUGCUGGAUCCUUAACCCACUGAGCGAUGCCAGGGAUUGAACCGGCAUCCUCACGGAUACUAGUUGGGUUCAUUAACCACAGAGCCACAACAAUGGGAAGUCCUUGUAGAGUAUUUGUGAUAAAAUUUUCUAGGAAGUAGAAAGCUAAAGAGUGCCCAGAACUAUGCAGAUACAGACCAAGAAUCACGUGUGCCAUUGAGAUGGGUGGCUGAAAUGCCUACGUGGCCAAUCCGCACGCUUUCUCUAAGGACCCUCUGGUGUUGACCAUUUCAGUGGCCCUGACAACAUCUUUUAGGCACUAAGAGGUUGAAGGCUUCUAAAUUCCCACAAGUUCUUCGGAGGGAAGAAUCUUCUCAGAGAUUAUACUAGCAAGAGAAAUAGCAGAGACAGUUUUACAUGCAACAAAAUCCCAUAAUUUUUGUUUGCUCUUUGAGGGUAAAAUCAAGAAUUUUCACACUCAGUUUAGGAUUAACCUAGAGGUGGGCUAGCAACUAUCUAAUUAAGGGGGGAUUAAAGAAGUACAUGAGGU
rnacentral:lncRNA from 1 species